AUGAACGCUAGCGGCAGGCUUAACACAUGCAAGUCGAGGGGCAGCAUAAUGGAUAGCAAUAUCUAUGGUGGCGACCGGCGCACGGGUGCGUAACGCGUAUGCAACCUACCUUUAACAGGGGGAUAACACUGAGAAAUUGGUACUAAUACCCCAUAAUAUCAUAGAAGGCAUCUUUUAUGGUUGAAAAUUCCGAUGGUUAGAGAUGGGCAUGCGUUGUAUUAGCUAGUUGGUGGGGUAACGGCUCACCAAGGCGACGAUACAUAGGGGGACUGAGAGGUUAACCCCCCACACUGGUACUGAGACACGGACCAGACUCCUACGGGAGGCAGCAGUGAGGAAUAUUGGUCAAUGGACGCAAGUCUGAACCAGCCAUGCCGCGUGCAGGAUGACGGCUCUAUGAGUUGUAAACUGCUUUUGUACGAGGGUAAACGCAGAUACGUGUAUCUGUCUGAAAGUAUCGUACGAAUAAGGAUCGGCUAACUCCGUGCCAGCAGCCGCGGUAAUACGGAGGAUUCAAGCGUUAUCCGGAUUUAUUGGGUUUAAAGGGUGCGUAGGCGGUUUGAUAAGUUAGAGGUGAAAUUUCGGGGCUCAACCCUGAACGUGCCUCUAAUACUGUUGAGCUAGAGAGUAGUUGCGGUAGGCGGAAUGUAUGGUGUAGCGGUGAAAUGCUUAGAGAUCAUACAGAACACCGAUUGCGAAGGCAGCUUACCAAACUAUAUCUGACGUUGAGGCACGAAAGCGUGGGGAGCAAACAGGAUUAGAUACCCUGGUAGUCCACGCCGUAAACGAUGAGUGCUAAGUGUUAGGGGGUUUCCGCCCCUUAGUGCUGCAGCUAACGCAUUAAGCACUCCGCCUGGGGAGUACGACCGCAAGGUUGAAACUCAAAGGAAUUGACGGGGGCCCGCACAAGCGGAGGAACAUGUGGUUUAAUUCGAUGAUACGCGAGGAACCUUACCCGGGCUUGAAAGUUAGCGACGAUUCUUGAAAGAGGAUUUCCCUUCGGGGCGCGAAACUAGGUGCUGCAUGGUUGUCGUCAGCUCGUGCCGUGAGGUGUCGGGUUAAGUCCCAUAACGAGCGCAACCCCUACCGUUAGUUGCCAUCAGGUGAAGCUGGGCACUCUGGCGGGACUGCCGGUGUAAGCCGAGAGGAAGGUGGGGAUGACGUCAAAUCAGCACGGCCCUUACGUCCGGGGCUACACACGUGUUACAAUGGUAGGUACAGAGGGCAGCUACCCAGCGAUGGGAUGCGAAUCUCGAAAGCCUAUCUCAGUUCGGAUUGGAGGCUGAAACCCGCCUCCAUGAAGUUGGAUUCGCUAGUAAUCGCGCAUCAGCCAUGGCGCGGUGAAUACGUUCCCGGGCCUUGUACACACCGCCCGUCAAGCCAUGGGAGCCGGGGGUGCCUGAAGUUCGUGACCGCAAGGAGCGACCUAGGGCAAAACUGGUGACUGGGGCU
rnacentral:rRNA from 1 species